AUUAAGAUGGCAGAGCCGGUAAUUGCAUAAAGCUUAAGCCUUUACUCCCAGAGGUUCAAACCCUCUUCUUAAUA
rfam:Sarcophilus harrisii ctg7180002096529, whole genome shotgun sequence.